GACGAACGCUGGCGGCGUGCCUAAUACAUGCAAGUCGAGCGAAUCACUGGGAGCUUGCUCCUGUUGGUUAGCGGCGGACGGGUGAGUAACACGUGGGCAACCUGCCUGUAAGACUGGGAUAACACCGGGAAACCGGUGCUAAUACCGGAUAAUCCUUUUCCUCUCAUGAGGAAAAGCUGAAAGUCGGUUUCGGCUGACACUUACAGAUGGGCCCGCGGCGCAUUAGCUAGUUGGUGAGGUAACGGCUCACCAAGGCGACGAUGCGUAGCCGACCUGAGAGGGUGAUCGGCCACACUGGGACGGAGACACGGCCCAGACUCCUACGGGAGGCAGCAGUAGGGAAUCUUCCACAAUGGACGAAAGUCUGAUGGAGCAACGCCGCGUGAGCGAUGAAGGCCUUCGGGUCGUAAAGCUCUGUUGUUAGGGAAGAACAAGUACCGGAGUGACUGCCGGUACCUUGACGGUACCUAACCAGAAAGCCACGGCUAACUACGUGCCAGCCGCCGCGGUAACAC
rnacentral:rRNA from 1 species